GCAAGUAUGAAAAAGCCCUUCACAGUUUGUUUCCCUAAAGCAAGUAAUGAUGAUGAUGAUGAUGUGGAUAACCCCAGCCUAUGGGAAGAAUUUGGUGAAGAGUACAAUGCUGAUGUUGAAGCUAUCCAAACCAACUGCAGGCAACAGAUCUUACAGUGCUUUGUCCCGUUCAUUACUACUGGUGAUUAGAGAUGGACUAAAGGAAACAAAAAUUAUACACAGUAUGAUGGCUAAGGUAACUAAACUUUGCAGCUUAAUACAUAUUACCUGUGGUCUGAAAGAAGCAUUUGAAGCUGAGUUCGGAGUCAAUAGUAGUGUCCCUGCUGCUGUGUCUACCAGAUGGAAUUCUAUCCUCCGGCAUGUUAAAGCAGUCACCAAUCUGAAUCAACAAAGCCUCAAUACUCUAGUUGAGGCCCAAGGACACAAGGAGCUCUGCUUAUCACCAAGGGAAUGGAGCCAGCUAUUGGACGCUUUUGUCCAGGCCACCAACCUUACUCAGGGGGAGAAUGUGCUGACUCUCAGUGCUGCCUUUCCUUGUGUACUGUCACUCAACUAUCAUCUGCAAAGUAUACUGAGCACAAGUCGUCACCUAGUCAGUCUAGUAAAAGCAUUGCAGCAGUCACUCAAACGCUGAUUCCAGGGGGUGUUUGUGAAUGUCAGAAUGGAGCACUUGGAUUACCAGGCAACAAAACCUCCAUUUGGUGACAAUGUAUACAUAAUGGCUGCACAGCUGGACCCAUCUUUCUGCCUGUUCUGGCUUGAUCAUGAUGUCCUCAUACCACAUGAAGAUAAAGCUGAAUUGAAGAAGUCUGAUUGGUGAGCCUGAACAUGGACAAGGUUCAGGAGAAACAUAAGGAAAACCACCAGAGGAGAAUCAAGAAGGGGACCAAGUGCUUCGACAUCCGGUCAAAUUACUUGGCUUGGAAGAAGGAUGAAAGGAAGUCGAGACCUUGCUGCUCUUUCGCUCCUAGCUGGGGCCACGAUCCGUUCAGGGACCAUCCCUCACCUCCCUCAUCAACCCCACUGACAUAAAAAAAAUACAGACAGGACCUAGGGGUACUGCCUAACACCCAGAUGUGGAUCUACCUGAUGUCCUCCAUUACCAACCACCCUCCAACUUUUCAUUACAUCAUCUACAGCUACUGUUACUGUCAUGUUGUCAUUAUCUGCUAAGAAAGAGCAAGAAAACUAUCAUACUGGGAACAUAAUGUGAGAUACAAUGAUUAUCUAAAAACACUAGCACUCAGAACAAAGAGAGCAGCAGUGCAUGGACUUCAGUCUCCCUCUUCCAGUCCCCCUUCCGAGACUGACUGUUUGUUGAGAACAGUGACAGACAGAACCUCCCAACCACAUAGCACCCACCUCCUCUCUAUUCCACACACCAGAAUUCAGUAUUUCAGUCUAUGAUUGCCAUGUGAGGACAAAAAAAGCUAAGUUUUAAAUAUAUAAUCGUAAAUAUUGCCAGGUUGGUUUUCAUAGCUUGUUCAUUGUUGAAAAUAUUAAUGUAUCCCUUGAUGAUAUUUGUUAGGUCAACAUUAUUCAUUGUUGUAUCAUAGGACCUAUAAUAGAUAAACAUUCAACCACAAUGAGCUAUAUAAACUCAGCAAAAAAAUAAACGUCCUCUCACUCUCAACUGCGUUUAUUUUCAGCAAACUUAACGUGUAAAUAUUUGUAUGAACAUAACAAGAUUCAACAACUGAGACAUAAACUGAACAAGUUCCACAGACAUGUGACUAAUAGAACUGGAACAAUGUGUCCCUGAACAAAGGGGGGUUCAAAAUCAAAAGUAAC
rnacentral:lncRNA from 1 species